rnacentral:rRNA from 1 species
GACGAACGCUGGCGGCGUGCUUAACACAUGCAAGUCGAGCGGUAAGGCCCUUUCGGGGUACGACGAGCGGCGAACGGGUGAGUAACACGUGGGUGACCUGCCUUUAGCUCUGGGAUAAGCCUGGGAAACUGGGUCUAAUACCGGAUACGACUCCGCGGUGCAUGCUGUGGGGUGGAAAGCCUUGUGCGGCUGGAGAUGGGCCCGCGGCCUAUCAGCUGUUGGUGGGGUGAUGGCCUACCAAGGCGACGACGGGUAGCCGGCCUGAGAGGGCGACCGGCCGACACUGGGACUGAGACACGGCCCAGACUCCUACGGGAGGCAGCAGUGGGGAAUCUUGCGCAAUGGGCGAAAGCCUAACGCAGCGACGCCGCGUGAGGAU